rnacentral:piRNA from 1 species
GAGGGUCCAGGGUUCAAGUCCCUGUUCAGG